CUUUCCCCCAAUUUCUAUUUCCCCCAAUUUUCCCAUGAUUCAACCUUAUUGAAGGCUGUUGGAUAGAGAACUCACAAUCUCCAAACAAUUGCAGCUGAGCCGAGAGAUCAAAAUCUAUUGGUGUAGCUAUUGGGAUCGACGUCGGCAGUAGAACAUUUGAGAGCCAUGCCAAUUGAUAAAUCUUGGAUUAGCAAACCACGAAACACACCGGAAUAUGCAGAUGGUCUAAGACAAGUUUUGGAUUUUGCUUUUGAGCACGGGUCAGUUGAUGGGCGUGUAAUUAAGUGUCCAUGUCCAAAAUUUGGUUUUAACAAAUGGCAAAGAAGAGAUGUAGUUAAAGAGCACCUGAUUCUUAAACCUUUCCCAAAAAACUACAAAUUUUGGUAUUGGCAUGGUGAAGAAUCAAAUGCAACCGUGCAACAGACUUCUCAGAGCACCCAUAUCAUAGAAGAUAAUUUACAACCCCAAGAUCCAAUGGAAAUUAUGAUUAAUGAUGCGUUUGGGUUCACCCGGAAUAAUGUCAACGAGCCUGGUGCGUCU